rnacentral:rRNA from 1 species
UGGGGAAUUUUGGACAAUGGGCGCAAGCCUGAUCCAGCCAUGCCGCGUGUCUGAAGAAGGCCUUCGGGUUGUAAAGGACUUUUGUCAGGGAAGAAAAGGCUGUUGCUAAUAUCAGCGGCUGAUGACGGUACCUGAAGAAUAAGCACCGGCUAACUACGUGCCAGCAGCCGCGGUAAUACGUAGGGUGCAAGCGUUAAUCGGAAUUACUGGGCGUAAAGCGAGCGCAGACGGUUACUUAAGCAGGAUGUGAAAUCCUCGGGCUCAACCUGGGAACUGCGUUCUGAACUGGGUGACUAGAGUGUGUCAGAGGGAGGUAGAAUUCCACGUGUAGCAGUGAAAUGCGUAGAGAUGUGGAGGAAUACCGAUGGCGAAGGCAGCCUCCUGGGAUAACACUGACGUUCAUGCUCGAAAGCGUGGGUAGCAAACAGGAUUAGAUACCCUGGUAGUCCACGCCCUAAACGAUGUCAAUUAGCUGUUGGGCAACUUGAUUGUUCAGUANCGUAGCUNACGCGUGAAAUUGACCGCCUGGGGAGUACGGUCGCAAGANUA